rnacentral:rRNA from 1 species
AGAACGAACGCUGGCGGCGUGCCUAACACAUGCAAGUCGAACGAGAAAGGUCCCUUCGGGGGCCCGGUAAAGUGGCGCACGGGUGAGUAACACGUGGGUAAUCUGCCCUCGAGUGGGGAACAACCCAGGGAAACUUGGGCUAAUACCGCAUAACAUCCCGACCUCUCUGGGGGACGGGAUCAAAGCCGGGGAUCGCAAGACCUGGCGCUUGAGGAGGAGCCUGCGUCUGAUUAGCUUGUUGGUGGGGUAACGGCCUACCAAGGCGACGAUCAGUAGCCGGCCUGAGAGGGUGAUCGGCCACACUGGAACUGAGACACGGUCCAGACUCCUACGGGAGGCAGCAGUGAGGAAUUUUGCGCAAUGGGGGAAACCCUGACGCAGCAACGCCGCGUGGAUGAUGAAGGCCUUCGGGUCGUAAAAUCCUGUCAAGUGGGAAGAAGAAUCCGCCGUGAAUAGCGGUCGGGUAUUGACUGUACCACUGGAGGAAGCCCCGGCUAACUCCGUGCCAGCAGCCGCGGUAAUACGGAGGGGGCGAGCGUUGUUCGGAAUUAUUGGGCGUAAAGGGCGCGUAGGCGGCCUUGUAAGUCGGUUGUGAAAUCCCUUGGCUUAACCAAGGAACUGCAACCGAAACUGCAGGGCUAGAGUCCGGGAGAGGGUAGUGGAAUUCCCAGUGUAGCGGUGAAAUGCGUAGAUAUUGGGAGGAACACCAGUGGCGAAGGCGGCUACCUGACCGGUACUGACGCUGAGGCGCGAAAGCUAGGGUAGCAAACAGGAUUAGAUACCCUGGUAGUCCUAGCUGUAAACGAUGAGAACUUGGUGCAGCGGGUAUUGACCCCUGCUGUGCCGUAGCUAACGCGUUAAGCUCUCCGCCUGGGGAGUACGGUCGCAAGGCUG